GACGAACGCUGGCGGCGCGCCUAAAACAUGCAAGUCGAACGAGAAGCCCGGGCUUGCCCGGGUGGACAGUGGCGAACGGGUGAGUAACACGUGAGGAACCUGCCCCGAAGACCGGGACAACACCGGGAAACCGGUGCUAAUACCGGAUGCCUUCACCGGAUCGCAUGGUCUGGUGAAGAAAUGGAUUCCGCUUCGGGAUGGCCUCGCGGCCUAUCAGCUAGUUGGUGAGGUAACGGCUCACCAAGGCGACGACGGGUAGCUGGUCUGAGAGGAUGUCCAGCCACACUGGGACUGAGACACGGCCCAGACUCCUACGGGAGGCAGCAGUUAGGAAUCUUGCGCAAUGGACGAAAGUCUGACGCAGCGACGCCGCGUGCGGGAUGAAGGCCCUCGGGUUGUAAACCGCUUUCAGCAGGGACGAAAUUGACGGUACCUGCAGAAGAAGCCCCGGCCAACUACGUGCCAGCCGCCGCAGUAACAC
rnacentral:rRNA from 1 species